rnacentral:rRNA from 1 species
AUUGAACGCUGGCGGCAGGCCUAACACAUGCAAGUCGAACGAGUGGCGGACGGGUGAGUAAUGUCUGGGCAACUGCCCGAUGGAGGGGGAUAACUACUGGAAACGGUAGCUAAUACCGCAUACCAUCGGAUGUGCCCAGAUUGGAUUAGCUGGUGGGGGGGGUAACGGCUCACCUAGGCGACGAUCCCUAGCUGGUCUGAGAGGAGGAACAGCAAAACUGGAACGGAGACACGGUCCAGACUCCUACGGGAGGCAGCAGUGGGGAAUAUUGCACAAUGGGCGAAAUCCUGAUGCAGCCAGGCCGCGUGUAUGAAGAAGGCCUUCGGUUUGUAAAGUACUUUCAGCGGGGAGGCGUUACCCGCAUAAGAAGCACCGGCUAACUCCGUGCCAGCAGCCGCGGUAAUAC